rnacentral:lncRNA from 1 species
GAGAAGACUACCUCAAACGGGGAAAAGAGAAGAUAGUGAAGUAAAUUGCAAAAUUACGAUAUUUUGCACCGAGGUAAGUAAACAUGUGAAAUAAUGCAUAUUUUUUAUAUUAUUUGAUAUAUGUUGAGAUUUAUUUGAACAUAGAAUAAAUAUUUGGCAAAGAUUCUAAAAGUGUGGUUAAGUUGGGACAGGUGGUAAAGUGUUGAAAAACACGGUUUCCGGUUGAACACUCGGAAUAGGCCGGAUUACACUGAAUAUAAAGGGGGUUGCUAAGUGUUGAUUCCCCCAAAGGGGUUGCUAAGUGCUAAUUCCCCGAUUCAUUGGUGGUUGCUAAGUGCUGAUUCCACCGUAUCUUAAAUGUGAAAGGGGUUGCUAAGUGCUGAUUCCCCGACUCAUUGGUGGUUGCUAAGUGCUGAUUCCACUGUAUCUUAAAUGUGAAGGGGAUUGCUAAGUGCUGAUUCCCCCGAGGGGUUGCUAAGUGCUGAUUCCCCGAAUCAUUGGUGGUUGCUAAGUGCUGAUCCCACCGUAUCUUAAAUGUGAAAGGGGUUGCUAAGUGCUGAUUCCCCGACUCAUUGGUGGUUAUUAAGUGCUGAAUCCACCGAUAACGGAUAACAUUCCGAGUGUUCAACGAGGAAAUUGGAAAGGUGAAUAUUUAUAUAUGGUGGACAAGUUUAUGGGAGGAAUAUUGGGUUUUGAUACUUAAUCAAUCCAUAUGUAAGAUGGGAGGAAAUAUCAAAAAUACAAAAGAACAAUUUAAAUACAAAACUGUUUUGAAUAAUAACAGUUGGGCAGCUUUGAAAAAAUCACCAUAAAUGGUGGAAAAUGAAUUAGAGGUUGAAUAAUAUAUGAAAUUGAAGCUGGAUGAGUUUAUUUUCAUAUUAAAGAAAUAGAGCAAGCGAAAGAGUUGUAUAUUUGGGGAUAUUUGAAUUUUAUUGAGACAGGGUUGAAUUGAUUUCGAAAUCCCCUGUUCCAACUUUGGAAAAUCACCAUAAAUUGUAAAAAAAUAAUUAUGGCCUGAAAUUUAUAUGUUUGGAUUCCUUAAUGAGUAUAUUUUUAAUAUAAACAAACUAGAACAUUGUUUGAAUUCUGUACAGGGAGUUAAGUAAAUUUUAGUAAGGAGAGGUCAGAACUGUCAAGUAGUGAAACAGGGGAAUAUUUAGAGAAUAAACUGUACUAAUUGGCCAAACCAAAAAUUCUGAAAAUUUUAUGGUAGAAUGGUAUAUGAACCUAGUUUCAGGGAAAAUUUACGGAACUUAAUUUGGAUCCCUGUAUCUCCAGAUAAAAAUAAAUUAGUGACCGUGAUGCAGAAAAACAGCUUGCUGGAAAUUGAGCAAACAAUGAAGUUUAUGUGUGAUUAAAAUUAUGUUACUAUGUAAUCAUGUGAGGAAUUUAUUUAUUGGUCAUAUGUUUACUUACUAAGCCAUAUGCUUACUCGUUUUUAUUUUCCCUUGAUUAUAGUGAAAUCAAUCAGCUCGGAACUUGGAGGACGUCAGAUAAUCAUCUACACUAUCAUCAACUUUUUGGGUAUUUUGCAAUUAAUACUUUGGAAACAUGGCAUGUAUAGAUGACUUUAUGUAAUGUGGUAUAAAUAUGUAUAUAUUCAGUAUUGUUCGGUUUAAUAUGUUGGUGUUUAUUAAUGGA